CACAAUCACCAAGUGCCUUGCUUCCAGAGGGUUGAUCUCCUUCUCAAGCAGCUGUUUGACAGAAAACUGAGCACCUGACAAGAGGAAGAGCUGAAGGACAGAAUUUCCAGUGAGAUUCUCAGUUAUGGCUCUAAUUUCUACUGCAGCUAAAAGUGAGCACAGUUAGCAGGUGCUCUGUGUUACAUCAUCUGGAGGCAGAGAGCAUGGGAGGUCAUCUCUGUGUCUGCAUAGCACCUGUGCUCACACUAGCAUCUAAUUAUCCAGAAUCAGACUUGAAUCUGACUUGGAAUCUGUUCCUUCUUGGAAGUUUUUCUCACUCGCACAUAAUUAUUGAGCUAGUGGAGCAAUUCUAUGCACUGAAUGGAUUUCUCAGAGUGCCACGCUGAAGCAGAAACAGAAGGAUGAAAGGUUCUUUAUGAGGGAAUUUUAUAAGAUGUUGGGAGAAAUGCCCAAACUGAACAAUGGAAAAGAGAGAGGGAAGUUUGAUCGGAUAAGGAGGCUCCUUAGAUUACUAUUUCCAGUACUUGCUCAACUGUGUGAUCUUAAACAAGCCCUGGAGGAGCAGCCAAGCCCCUGAGCCACACCAGGAACUUUGCUGCACAUCAAAUGUGUUACAGGGCUUGGUUAAUGUGGCUGUGCCAAGCACAAAAUUCUACAGGAAUUCCACGAAUUUACUGAAUAUGAAAAUGCUGACAAGUGGUUUGACUGAUACAGGAUUACUGGGAAUCAUAGCACAAAUGUAUGAAUUAGCACAUACACAAAACUGCCUAUUUGAGGAAUCCAACUGGAGAAGACAAAAUUCAGAGUCCAGUCUCCUCGAGUUCUGCAUAGUCCAAUGGCCAGAGACAGAAGUUCCUGCAGAGGAUCUGUACACUGUUCUCUAUCCUCUUACAAAUGGUUUCCUGAGAAGCACUACAAUGCUGGCUUCUCACUGUAGCAAUCAAGAGCUGAAGGCAGCAAUUGUUGCUGUUGGUGGCUGAAGCCAUGCAGCAUAUGCCAGCAAUGGAACGUGGUCUUUACUCAGAUGCCUGUGUGAAGGUAAGGUGAAGCUGCAGGAGCCACAGAAAUCAAGCAUUCUUCUGGUGAAGCUUUCUAAGAUCAGAAGUGCCAAUGAAAUCAAGGACGACAAAUGAACGAUGUGUUAAAACAGGUGUGGCAGUGGAGAAAGGAGCCCUUGUGGUCACUGCUGCCCACAGACUGGCACUGGGUGCGUGCAUACUGACAGUCACAGACUCCACUGUAGUUUGAGCAUCCGAAGAGCAUAAAGCCUGGGUGGCUAUGAAUGACUUCCAUGUGUCAUUUGAAUGAAGGUAUUUUGAAGACUGGCUAUUGACACCUGAAACAAUUACUAUUCUGCUCGUGGAUUUGACACCUCAGACUAGUUAAUCACCAGAGGGGCUUCACAUGCCAUCAGAAGGUGAGAGCUUUCACUAUAGAAAUACCAAAGUCCUGACACCAGCUUGUGGCAGAGGGCAGUAAUGGUGUUCAUUUGCACUUAGAAUAUUUGCAUGCAGUGGUGUUUGUAAUGUAUCCUGAGGGCAAGGUGGACCUUCAAAUCCAAACUCAUCUCCUGCAGCCAAGGCCACUUGGGAAAAGCCCUUGGGAAAAGCAGUCACAGUGGCAAGGAUGCCUAGACAUGUGUAAAUAGGGAG
ensembl:lncRNA